ensembl:lncRNA
UUAGAGUAGAGUACAAUCGGAUACUGUAACAAGUAAAGUAGAGUACAGUCAGAUACUGUUACAGGUAGACUACAGUCGGAUACUGUUAAGUAAGGUAGAGUAGCGUCGGACACUGGCACAGGUACGAGCAGCAGUGCCUCGUAUUCAAUUGCCAGUGUAGUCAGAUACUGUUACAGAUAAAGUAAAGCAGUCAGAUACUGUUACAGGUGGAGUAGAGUACAGUCAGAUACUGUUACAGGUAGAGUAGUACAGCCAGGUACUGUUACAGGUAGAGUAGUACAGCCAGAUACUGUUACAGGUAGAGUAGUACAGCCAGAUACUGUUACAGUUAGAGUAGUACAGCCAGGUACUGUUACAGGUAGAGUAGUACAGCCAGGUACUGUUACAGUUAGAGUAGUACAGCCAGGUACUGUUACAGGUAGAACAGUCAGAUACUGUUACAAAUAAAGUAAAGCAGUCAGAUACGGUUACAGGUAGAGUAGAGUACAGUCAGAUACUGUUACGGGUAGAGUAGUACAGCCAGGUACUGAUACAGGUAGAGUAGAGUACAGUCAGAUACUGUUACAGGUAGAGUACCUGCAGCUGUUUCCUCGGCUGCUCUCCACUAUGAGCCACACAAUAACAGCCUCUGUAAAGCUCACCAAUUGUAUAAUAAAAUUGGUGAUUUUUUGGUGGUUUCUUUUGUGUUUCGGUAAAAGUGACACAUUUAACUGAAUAUAGUGAGUAAAUGGGAAAUAUAGAUCAAUGCAGCUUUCAGUACAGAGGUAGCAUUGACUUCCAUCCCGUCUUGUUCAAGGAGACUGAUGCACUAUUAACAAUGAUGUUGUCAAUGAGAAUGGGUGAAAGGAGCGUAUGUGUGUGUUUGGGCAAAUGAGGCAGGGUUGGUGUGUAUGGGGGGGGUGUCAGCUUCAGCCCGAACACAAAGACUUCCGUAUCUACCUGCAUAACGGGGAUGUCUAUAAUCCUACCUGUAACGCCCCUACCUCCCCUUUCCCAUCUCUGCUGUCUUCCCCCGUACACACUCAUGCAAGCUGUCCAUCACAGCCUAGGAAUAGAGGGAAGGGGUGUGAGUCUGGAGAAUACGCAGUGACGACUUACAGACUGGCUACCUGACUAAACAUAGCAAAGCCCCCCUGUCUGUGGUUGAACUAUGCCUGCCGUGCCUUGUCUUUUCCCCGAGUCUGGUCACAGGGGUUGGUGGAGGGGGGGAGGGGGAUCCCCCUCACUGCCAUGUGGGGGCGCUGUGGAGCUACGCCUGCUGCAGGUGUGAGACCCUCAUGUUCAUUCUGCUCUGCACUGGAGGUUAAAAUUAAACAUUAAACAUGGAGGAAAAUGAGAAGAGGGGGUGCGCAUAGGGAGGGUCGGGGGAGAUUCUAUUCAUGAAACGUCUACUUUCUUUGCAAAAUCGGACAUAACAGUGGGUGGAUGAUUCAUUGCUCGUGAGGGGCGAACUAUUCCGGCAAAGGAUGCAUAUUUCGGGCUUUGACACCUUUUACUAACAGUCCCUGUUGUGUUGUAAAUACCCACGGUCCCGAGGGGCGGGGUAAAUUUGUGCUCGGUUAUCAACUCACCAAAGAAAAACUACUAUGUACAAAUCAAUUCAUCAUAUUCACAACAGCGAGAGGUCUCAGGAGGAGAUGUUCAGAUGCUGGCUUGGGUUGGGAGUGGGGGGGGUUAUUGUUAGGUAUCUCUGGGGUAAUGUGAAGCAAUGGCGUGUGGAUUUUGACUUGAUGCCAUUUUGUUACGGUUCAGCGUUAUUGAUGUUUGCCGUUUUUGGCACAACAGCAUCUUUGAGGUUUUUCCAGAGUUUAAUUUUACAAUGUCGCCACUGAUGGCAAACCCGGGCCCUCUCUUUGCCGUUUCAGGAACAAAUGUGAUGCAACCCAGUGGCUGACAUGUCCAAAGGGGGCGGAUUGAGCGGCUCAAUGCAGUGGCUCUGUGCCGCGCAGCCAGUUUUCGCUAUCAUGACCUUGUCAACUGACUGCCACUCAAGUCAGACCUCCGAGGGUUUCUGCUUCCUUAGCCGAGGCCGGCGCUGUGACGGACCAAAAAAAAUCUCACUGCUGCGCAAUUCCCUUGAGACGCCACAUGGCAGGUAGGCAGCAGUACGGAAAGGUUUUUCUGUGAACUUCAAGGAACGAUGCCCCGCCACCCCCCAAAAAACUGAAAACAGAGAGAGAUUACAGACUCAACACAUCGGCCAUGGCUUGAAUUUUCCUUCUGAAUUAAGCAAUCAGGGACAAUUGAAGGACUUGGUCAAAGAGUCACACAACAAAGUGGUUUUGUCAUUGUGCAACCAGAGAUUUUGUGUCGGGAAGAAAGUGAAUUAAUUAAAUUGCAUUGGUUAGCGCCUAAGUACUUGACACUGGUGCCCAAUUAAGAUCUGUAAGGCCUGGGGCACGAAACACUGGAGGAGCCUAUAGAUUUUUAAUAGCAAAUACAUGACAAAAGUGCUACUUUCGACUUUGAUAACCUUGUUUUAAUUACGCAAUUACAUGGCCGUCUCCUAACCCUGCUCUCUUUGGUGCAUUUAAAAGCAGCCUCCACAUUGAGGGCCAUUUGUUCAGCGCUACGUCAGCUUUGAACUCGUGGGAAAUAAUAUGCAAAAAUCUUUCCUUUGAUGCAGAGCAAAGUGCGCUUAUUAAACAAUUAUCAUAGUUAUUCUCGUAUUAAUCCCCCAGAGAGACUGCAAAUUAGCAGGAGGGUUUAAAAUAGACUUGUUUAAUAGGUGACUGUAUGCCCCGCGGCACAGCAAUGCGCCGCCGUCAACACACGUUGACGAUGUCAUGGUUCCCCGUUGCUGUUCUGUCAGGGAAGCUCCCCAUGAGGAAGACAUGACAGCUCUCCCCGGCUACGGAUACAGUGCUCUUGAGUCCUUUUUACCUCGAUAAGCCUCCGCAAUGACGGAGUGUUUCGGCCCACAUGGCACACACACACCGCAGUAAAGUGCAGUCAUUAAGAUGUUUGGUUUCCCGCGCGUCUCCAUCUGAGAUUGAGUGGUUUGGUGUUCUGACGCUGCGCAUCCCAGAGAGUGGCUGUCAGUCAGCAGCUCCAUUUCUAUAAAUUGUAUAGUAAAACUAAAAUAAGGGAGUCUAGACUGUAUGGCAGAAAUGACGGGAGCAAAGGUUAUAUGUGUGUCAGUGUACCUUCUGUCUGGGUCUGUCGGCCCUGGUUCAGACAGUUUGAAGAGAAAGAAUACUAAAUUAAUAUUUUAGCUAGCAGUUUGCUUCCACUUUUGUGUCGAUUGUGAGAGCGUAGGAGGUGAAAGAACUGAAAAAUAACUAGAAAAGGCAGUUUAUGAAGCAGUACAAGCUUUCUCUAAGGGUCAGAAACAAACCCCAGGGCCAGACGACAGACAGACAGACAGGCAGACAGUCAGACUCUGCAUACACACACAGGUCUGACAUUAGGUUCUGUUUUCUCCUGAUCAGUCAUGUAUUUCAGAAUUCAGAGCUACACACACUUAAUCCAAUAUAUAUUUUUACCCUCCUUGUGAUCUUGUGAGAGUCUCAUCCCGCCUCUGUUUGCCACUGUUGUUUGCGUGGUCAUCUGGAUGGUGUUUCUUGUCGUCCUGAUCUUCUCAUUUUUAUUUAAAGAUGUUUCUAUUAGGACAUUUUGGCUUUUUUUAAAUUCUGCUUGCUCAUAUGAUCGAUUGCAUCAUUUCUUUCAUCUCGUUUUUUCUACCAUCACAUUUGAUCAACUGUAUUUUUCCUUCUUGACGCUCAGCUGCUGUUUUAUUGCUGCACAAAUAGACCUACAACCUGUUUUUGUUUGUGCAUCUAAUCCACUUUUUCUGCCACCAUGUCUCGGGCUGACUAUAAAUCAUCUGGCUUAUUUUUCUCUAACGUUAUAACCCAUUGGAGUCGGAUGAAAGAAUUAACCACCUGCCCCCCCACACACACACACACGCAGUACAAUGAUAAUAGACGAAAGCUACGGAUGAAUAUUAAUAAAUGAUGAUGAACAUCCUUUACUCUCUCCAAAGACAAUCUCUCAGCUGGGGGAAAUGUAAAUGGUUACAAGCGGUAGUAGCAGGCAACGGAAGAGUCCAAUAAAAGUGAAGUAGGAGGGUCACAUAUAUUAGAAUUACACCCGAAAACAACUCUGCCUGCAAUGCCAAAAACACCCAAUAAAUUCUCUGUAAAAGGUAUUUACAGUUACUAACGCUCAUUCGAACACUCAGAUAUUGUGUGUUAUUUAUAGUAACCCAAGUACUUUACUUGUAACACCUACAUCAUUGCUUAUAAUAACAGAGGAUGUGAUAGGAGUGUCGAAGAUGGCGGUGGCUGAUUCUGAUUCUGCUGAUGUAAUGAUGAAUCAGCAAAGUACGAUGAAUGAAUUGCGGGCAAACAAGUAAUAAAGUAUGUUUUUGCCUGUCAUGGGGUUGGGGUGGGAGACUCAGACAAUGGUAGAGGAUUUAAGGUUGGAAUGUAUUCCUCAAAGCAGAUACAAACUAAAAGGCCAACAGGAACACAAGGAAACACAUGGUUUAAACACACUGGGGAGGUGCAGGCAGAAAAUCAUUAAGGUGGAGAAACACCGGGGCAGGAAGUGAAUUAAACCCAGGGACAUGAGAGGCAGGAAAUACAAGAAAACAAGAACAAGAAAACAAGAAAAUCCAACCCAACAUUAUGACAAUCCAUACAUAGUAUAUCUACAUAAUCUCCAUCGGAUGCCAGGAUAGGGUAUUCCUUAAACACUGUCUCGUUUCUCUCCUCAGCCCCCCCUUCUCUAACUGAGAAUGUUGGUGAGAAGAUAAUGUUAACUAUAAAUAUUAAAACCAGUCACAGAGAAUAUCAGGUUUAUUUUCUGCAUCAGAGCAGGGAGGAAUCGAGAGAGGAAUCAUCACUUUACGUCUGUUCAAGUGUGAGCUGUCGAUCCCAAUUGUGAUGUUGAAAAGUUGCAUGGACAUUAGUUCAGCAGAUUUGAAUUGUUAUAGCUUGUGAGUCAAAUCUGAUUCGGCAAAUCUGAAUAUUUUCCUCUGGAGUAGAAGUGUUUUUGAAGUGCCUUUGGGUUCUUUUGUAACAAUAGCAUCUUUCAAAAUGACAAACAUUGAAUACAAAUGCCAUAUAAUAACGAUAUUAACGAUAUUAAUAGUCUUCAUAUAUCCUACAUGUUUGGUUUGCAAUGAGCAGACAUUUAGCCUGGAGAACUUAUAGGAGAAAUCUGGUCAGCUCCGCACUGACUGGUGCACCCCCCAUCACCCCUCCUACUCUGGCCUCCUUCUCCAGCCCGAGGAGCUCUCCAUGGUGCUCACACAUUCACAGCAGAGCUUAACCGGACCCGAGGAACCUAAUCGAUCCACUUAUUAGAAAAUAGUUUUUUCCCAUAGAAAAGCUGGUCAGACUGGAAGCUGUGAUGAUCUGCAUCGUGAAGUGAGGAGGACGCACUCCCACCCCCUUUACACCUCACACAUGCUGUGGCAUCGUUAAGAUCACAAUGGGCUUUAUUGGCCAUGCAUGGGCAAUGUGCUCCUCCCUGUGAGUCCGGCCUUGAAGACGUCAUGCUCCUCAGAAUCACACUGGCCGUGGGUCAUUGAUCGGAGCAGUUACUCAGCCUCAGCCUCAAACGGCUUAUUUUGGAAAUCAACAUGACUCCAGGCUUUUGGUUUCUGAAGGGUGCAGCCUGACGGAGAGCACCUUUAAACAUCCCCUCAUACGAUCUGUGUUUUAACUGCAUUAUAUAUUCACUCAAUGCGCACUUACAGGCUUUGCGUCGGAUCUUCUACGACGUAUCCUUGUUUUCACGCACAAAUGGACUUUGAAUGGCCAUUGAGGAGAUGGUGGACACUGUGUACUACAAGAUGGGAUGACGACGGAACCAUCUCCAUGGCAACUGAGAAAACACAGAGGAAGACCGUGAAACACAGUUGAUACAAUCAAUUUUUCAAAUAAACAUCAAGUGUUCUAUUAAAUGUCUCUCUAGCGGUUCUGGAGCUUUUGAUUGCCAUCACAUGAGCUUCAUCAAUGUCAAGUUUGACCAGUGCUCCGUUAGUUGUGGAUAACUUGAAAACCUGGUUUUAUUUAGAAACAAAGACCUCAAAAUACAUGAUCUUCAUAAAAAUGGCUUUCAGAGGUGUCUCGUAACAAGUUUCAGCUUGUAUCCCAUCUCAUGCAUGUUUAUUGGAAUAGGUCCCCCCAGGACGGGACAUCUCAUGGAACAGGCCUUCUCUCCUCAGGGCCCACGCUACGCACUCUUUUUUUUGCAUCCCUUAAUCAGGUGGAUCAGACCUCCAUGCUUUAUUCUUGAUGGACACUGUACACACUGUAGAUGAUGAAGGGGAAACGUGUUUACCCGUUGGUAUCAUGACUACGCGCCCUUUGAGGGUGUGCUCAGCUCUUCACAGUGGAUGGCAUUGAUUGCACAGGGAGAGGGGGUUGUCAUCAGUCUGGCUACGUGGCUGCAGUUUCCAAAAAAAACUGAUAUGAAGAAUGAAAUAUCUAUAAUUGCUAGGACUGUCAACAUAAAUGCAUUAAUCUAUGCGAUUAAUGCGGCCGCGAUUAAUCCAACAAAAUAUUUUAACAUAGUUAACGUACGUUUGUUUACUUCUGGUUAACUGAAGUUGACCGUGGAAACAAAACGGCCGCUAACUGCAACCAGUUACAUCAAGAUGGAAAGAUUUUUGCAUUGGAAGUAAAACAAACAGAGGCGCAACAUACAGUGGUGCAGAGGAAUUACUCCACGUGUCAAACAGAAAGUGAGUGAGUGACAAACGGACCACUUAAAGCACUGCUAGGCUAAACUAGCUGCCAGGCUAAGGUAGCAGCUAGGCUGCCUCCAUCUCAACAUCUAACGUUACCCUGUGCGGCACACAGUCUGCAGAGGACCACCACGGUGUCCCUAAAAGACCUUGAUUUGAAAACGUUCUGGCUAAAUGUGGGGAGAUUGUUGGCACUUCAAAUACAGGCGUUACAUUAUGGAGAGUUGAGAGCAGAGUGCACGAGGACAACAGUUCAACAUGUUGAACCAUAAGGGGAAAUUCUACCUCCAAGAUGAUCAAAUGUGUGUAGUUUUGUGUUUAAAAUAACAUUAACAACAAUUACCGUUUGGGGUUAAUUGUACAGUAGUAGUAGUAGUUGUAGUAGUAGUUAUCCUUUAGAAGAAUUCCCUGCAUAAACGUAAUGCUGCAAUGUUUCUCAUUGUCAUAUUUAGUGAUUUGGGGAUUAACAUCUGGUAGUAUGCCCAGUGCCGAUACUCCGUUACCUCCAAAUGUUCUCUGAGCACCAGCCAAAGUUUGCUUACAAUGUAUGAUCGUGUUUAGAAGCUUGCAGCUCUUGGUUGAAGAUGGCUGAGGACUGUGUGAAAUGUGACAUUUUCACACACAAUAGCACAAACGGUAUAUUUGAACUCUCUUAUCAUCUUUUCACCACACAUGAAACACAUUGAAUUCAUACAAUUGAAGACACAAUAGCAGAAGCCCCGACCGCCCACUAUGAUAGAGGUUUAAAAAUACCUUUACAACUAUACUCAAUGAUCCAGUAUGGGAGCCAUUAUGUACCAGCCUGUGCUCAGUUUCCUCUCCUCUCAAGUUACAACUUGAAACAGUAUAUUCAUGUUCGCCCUGAUGUGAACAUUGUGUGCUUUAAAUGAUUUUGCCAGAGAACACUUUAAAAUGCCACUUCGAAAAAAGUGCAGGCUGAUCACUCCGAGAGGGAAAUGCAGCAAUGUUAUAUCACAGACACACACACACACACACACACACACACACACACACACACACACACACACACACACACACACACACACACACACUAAUCUGCUUCAUAUUGCUUUUAGAAAGGCUCAGAGAAAGUUUGAUUAAAUAAAAUGCAAAUCACAGUGAUUUUACACUUGACUUUGAAUGUAACUGAGAUGUUGCUUCAUUGGUAUUCAGCCGAGCAUUAUAGUGAUCCUUACUGCACAAUACAAAUGAAGCUGCAGAGGCUCUCAGCAUGAAUACGCACAAGGGAAUGUCAUUCAGCUCUGUCUUCUCCAUCAUUAUGUACACCUCACCAUCUAUUGUUUGGAAUCCAAACACUCUUUGAGCCAGCAGGAAUCCUGUUAUUGUGGAUCAGAGGAGAAGGGGUCAGGCUGGCCCUGGGAGCUCGAAGCACUGCGAAUGAGAAAACAUAUGCAAGUAGGCAAAACACAAGCACAAGAAAUCAUUAUCCCCAGGUUCCCAACAAAAUGCUACAAAUGGAGAAAAGACCCAUUGAUGUGCAUGAAUAGGGAGACAUUUUCUUACUUUGCUUCUGUUUGUAGAGCAUUGAGCUUUAAAAGAAAAAAUCAUAUUUGAGCAUGAGUGGUUACAUUGUGUCAUGUUAUUGUUAUAUACCUGCUACGACCAUGUAAUAACUGUUAAGAGGUCCUGCUCCUGUCUGUGCAGUCACAUCGCUCCCGGAGAGGAGGAAAGAGGGUCGGAGCUUUUAGAUAUACAUAGGUUUUAGUGUUUUUCCAACUACAUUUGGAUCUUUUAUUAUUUUGUCACCGUAUUGGGUGUGAUAUCAAGCCUAUUGCCGUUUGAUUGCUUCAGUGCUGUCUCGUUUAUGCAGAUUUUACAAGUUUUAUAUCCCAUCCCCAUCUUUUAAACCAAUCUUUUUCUGCAGACUACCUGAUGUUUCAACCUGCUGGCUUUCGAAGUCUCCGCUCAGCACCACCUCAGCUGAUAGAAGAUCUGCUCCACCCUUUGGUAGCCACACUGUUUACAGCAGUACAGCCCCCCCAGUCUUCAUGCACGGAUAUUUAAUGUCAAAAGAUUUCUGGCUUUUCAUUUGAAAUAUUUGCAAGAAUUGUUGGUUUUAUUUUAGCGGCCAAAAAAUCUGCAAAUUGAGGAAGUGAUGACUAAAUGAAAACAAUUUGGGUAUUUGUAGCAAAGUGGUAUUCAUGACCAACCACCAUUACUGAUGCCCUUCUGAUGGCAUUAUUGUAUUAUCAAGACAACAGGUAAAUAAGGUCAACAUUGAUUGUACUUGUUUACUUUCAACUGCAGUUAAAAAUAGAUCGCAUUGAUUGAUGUUAAUGCAUGUGUUCUGAAGUGUUUAUUUUUUCAUAAAAAAUGUUUCUGCAUCCCCAUAGACUAAGCCUUAAAGUUAGUUAUAGCCAAAGCCUCUACCAUUUACUCAGAACUACUCUUAGGUCUAAUUCUUAAAUGUUUCAGACUGAUAUGAAAAUUACCUUUAAACCUUAAGCUGUCAUUACAUUCACUUACAGCAACUUCAUUCAUUUUGGAGAUGUGUAAUGACAAAAGCACAGGUUUGCAAGAUCUUUGUCAACUGUCUAAAUAUCUAAAUGUAACUGCAGUGUUCCCCAAUAGGUUGAUCGCGAUCAACCAGUCUGUCUUGAAGGCAGUACCAGUCGAUCGCAUGCAAUCAAUUAAAAGAAUGACCCAUAUGCGCGGCCCAUUCCCGCGGGAGAUGACCGGAACUAAUGCUAAUUAGCGACCCUUGCUUACUAACGGACGCAUUUAAUUUUAUUCUAAAGAAUGUGCGGGAUGCUUGUGACGGUUCCCUCCUUGUGACAGAUGAGAGGCUAGUUGUUUUCUCCAUAUCGACUCGUUUUGCGCUGACUUCAGUCCUGCUGUUCCACUUGGUAACCGUUAUUACGGUCCCCCCCCCCCCCGCCGGGCGGUCCUCCAUGGGGAGGGAGGAGAUCGCCAUGACUUGGUCAGUUGAAAAGUAGCUCGCGAGCCGGAAAAGUGUGGGCACCCCUGGUCUACAGGGACACCGGUGAUUGCCUUGGUCUCUGUGGAGGUUCAUUUUCGGCUUGGGGUUCCAAGUGCUCGUAGCAGCUGUUCAGUCUCUGUGUCUCCUCUUGUGUAUCUGUGUAAAUAAGCAAUGCCUUUUUUCAGAUUGGAUCACAGUAGAUUGGACCACACCGGCUGAGAGGUCUUCUGGGAUGCUUGGCUCCAUCUGUUCCGGUACCAAGCAUUCAUCAUGCAGCCAAGUAGUAAGUCUGGUCAUAUAGUGAAACAAAUAUCAUUGAAAAUGUAUGUGUUAAGCACUUAGGACACAUCUUUUAUAGUAUUUUUAUUGGACACUCCCUGCCUGCUACAGGUUUCUAAGCCAAACCUACAAUACCAAUGUUGUGCUGCAAAAGUGGAAAUAACACCUGAAUAGUCUUGUAGCCAAUCUCAAGAUACCACAUGUGAGUUCAUAGAUGCAGUAAGCCAGGCCUAGAUGUUCCACCACUGGUCCAGGCACUGACCCAUAAAGAAAUGACCAGAUGUUAAAAUGCUCCUUUCCUAUUACCUAAGGGUUGAUAUUGUCCAAUAGCACAACAGCUCCUUGUGCUUUAUCAACCUGUUCACAAUCAGUCACUUUUAUGGCUUGUAAGGGAAAAAUGUGUUUUGUGGGUUCCAACACGUUUCAAUCCCUCGUUUCCAUAUAAUCAUAAUUAGUGUUCAGAUCUUUAUGUGUUCAGAUCUUUAUGUUCACGUUUGUUUAAUGUGACUAAAUACGCUUUGGCGUUCAACUGAACACAGUGUGUUUUGGAACUCAUCCAUCCAAGUUGUUUGAUGAUGUAUUUCUUUGUCCAGCCAUAUUUAGAAACUUGGAGAGACGAGGUGGAGGCCAACAUGAGGUUACUAUAAACGGAUAGAGGAUCAUUUGGAGCAUUGUGUUAAAAACAUCAAGAAACUGGUUAUGAUCAGAACCCAAAUAAAGGAGAUGGAGACGUCCCCCCCAAUAUGAAAUGAAUGAAUGCGUCAAAUGUGGUAUUAUUAUGUACAACUGCCUCGUAUGUGUCUUUCUGGAAAGAGCUUGUUUCAUUAGAGUCUGUGUGAUUCCAAUACAUCUCUGUGAUUUGAAACAUCUGAAUGUCCAGUGUGUUCUGUGUGGGGGUGUUACUGAAAGUCCUACGUACCUCACCACAUGUUAAAGUUAGAAGAUAGAGUUAAUUAGUCAGAAGGUUGUACAAACUGAAAUCCACCACCAAAGAGGUUGUGGUCUGUCCCUUUUGUUUCUCUUUGACUCCGUUUUACAUAGCGCUUGUGCAGCUACAUUUUGAGUUUUAAGUUCAGCUUUUAGCUUCUCUUCUAUGGUAUGAUGAAGCGAUUAAGAAGACUCAACCUCCCCCGCUUACGUUGACCGAGAUGAUAACCCCCCCUUCUUUUGUGUUUGAUGUUGAGUUCCCUUGGUGAUAGUGGUAUUUGGGGGCUAUUGUCAAAUCUAUCACACUAGAUUCCAUCUUUCACCUGUUGCUCUUUUUUGUCUGAAGUGAGCACAAUGUUCCCCUCUCACACUCUCCACAGUAAUGACCCAAUGUUCUGAAAGAAGAAAAGCCUGAGUCCUUGGGGGAUGAGGGGGGCGGCCCAAGCGUGGACUGUAUGCCCCGAGGCCCUCUCGCUCCGCUUAUAGAAAAGUCCAUUUUAGCUUCCUCACACGCUGACCUGCAACCACAAACAGUGGAAGCUGAUUAAAAAUAUGGCAUUUCUCUUUUUGCUACACAACAUGAUGUAUGUGGCAUUCACAGUAUCUAAUAUCAUAUAGGUAGUGUGUCCAAAAGCACAGUACACCACAUUGGCAUCUGUCAAGCAACAUCGUUGCCAACCUUGCACCAGCAAAUUCUUAUGAUGGUGAGUGAUGACUAAGUAUUCAUUAUUUUGAAAUGAUUUAGUUGGCUAACGUUAGCUAGUUCUGAUUAGUUAGCUAUGGGGGCGUGCUAGCUAACCUAGCUAAGUUAGCCAAUGUUAGACAGAGUGCAGUCGGUGAGAGAAUUUUUUGGAAAGGGGGUGUGGCUUAUCUCUGUAAAGGCAGUUAUCAUUUCCGCUAUCCACUAUGGAAAUACACUAUUUGUGCUCUGUACCUGUUGUGGAAAUAACACAAACGUUGCACAUUAACUUACGAUCUUUCAAUCUGAGCUGUCUGUCUCGGUAAGUGACAGUUUCAUAAAGUGUAUUCACGCUUUGGCAGUAGGACGGCGGCGAUAACGAGCGGAGGAGAGGAUCUCAAUGCUGAUUGGCUUUCGCAGGACAGCGUUGUUGAAAUAUUUUACCUUUGGUGAAAAAGCUAUUCAUUCGCUUCUCUCCUUUAGCUUUUUCGGGUCCCCCAUGCAGCAUUGUGUUGAGAAUUUGCGUUGAAAAUUUGCUUCCUCCACAAACAUGCGCUUCUGUGCAUUGACUUUGCAUGGAAUCUACUCAUUCAAAUAAUUUGCUUCGCUUUUGCUGUGAACAUUAGUGAGACGCAGUUGACUGGUCUCAAGGUUUAAAUAUUUAGUGUUUUGUUUUUACAGAAGCAUGAAGUAAUCGGCUCAAUAACAUUCUGCGUUCUGCAAAAUGGUCAAGCUAAACACGAGAAACUAAAAAUAAAAUUGAAUGAGUCUGAUUUAUGUUUUCUGUUUGAUUUGGUUCAAAAGAAAACUGUACAGAAUCUGUACACUACUGCCUAAUAGUCUUAUUAGUGCUAUUUGAUGACAAUUACACAUACAGGAAAAUAAGUUAAUUUAUUAUUUUUAACAAAGGUUGAAUGUUAUUUCACAAGUUUCAUAAAAUGCCCCCAAUUUCUUAUGAAAUUGGUUUUUAGUCAGUGGGGGCAAAAAUUCUGCUAUUUUUGCACUCUCACAUCUGUCAAGGGUUACCAUAUUAAAAGUUAUAACUGAGCCGUCAUUUUAUGGUCACAAUAUUGAAAUGCAGGUGCUGCCGGACAGAUGCCAUUAGAUAUUAAAUGUUUCAUCACAGUGAAUGUGGCAGCAUGCUGCUUGUGUGGUUAUCACAAAGUCCCUUGAUAUCUGAAUAUUUUGCUUAGACAUUUUUCUUAAAUUUGACUCCACAAUCUAACACACACACACUCACCUACACAUACACCCUUCUUAGAUCUCAUCCACACUUGUCGGCUGCAUCUUUCACAGUCUAAAUUUAGCUUACCAGAUUUAAUUCAAUAAACCACCUGUCUUCUCUUGCAGUCACCUCACUGCUUCAAGGUUUUCUUCUUAGCAUUUGCAUAGUAAAUUACAAAAUAGAUGUUUCUCAAACACCAAGCACCUGCAUGUUGUUAUUUUAACCAGGAACAACAAUCUCAUCAAUAUCAAUAGGAAACGCUGAAAUGUAAAUAUCACACUUGUUUAAUAUCUUCAUAUUUAAAAAGCACUUUUUGAAUUUAAAACAACAGCCUCCUAAAUUCUUUGUUUGUUGAUGUUUUACAGUUUGUGGAAUAUUGCAAAAUGUAUUAACGUUUGUUCUUCUUCUUAAGCAACCAUUUUGUUCUGUAUGUACAUGCUUACAACAGAGUUCCAGCUGAUGAACCAGUAUCAUGGCCAGAAAAGGGCACACAGCCCACUGAUGCUGGGUAAUGUCCACACGACUGGUUAAUAGCUGCUGUCACAAUGUAGCGACACAUCACCAUCACACAUACAAAGGGCCUGUAGGAGCUGCACGACUCCUCGCAUGAGAUCCACCUGAUGCUCGGGUGCUGCUCCUCAGAAGAUCCACAUAUCCAUCUUCUAGAAAUGUGUACUUGGCCUGACUGCUUUACACAAGAGAAAAACAGGAAGGCAUUAAUGGCUGUCGGGCCUAAUGUCAUUCCUCUUACAGGAUAGUGCAAAGUUUAUUCAAACAGGCUUUGUUUCAAAAGACAUGAAGAGCCUCACGUUGUCAAGUGUGGAACUGUUCUGUUUGACUGAAGCCUCAAGGCAGCCAGGAAUAAAGCAUGGCUCUUUUAAUUAUUUAGAUCGGUUUCCCCCUGUCACGCAUUUGAUCUUUUGAUGUUGGGUUUGUUUUAAUACAGAAUCAGUAUUCUUCUUUGAACUGACAAGUUGUUAAGCCUGUGUUAUAGUGCACGUACGUAAAUAAAUAAAACAUUAAAUAUCAGCCUGUUAAAGAUCUAAAUAAAACAAAAUGUGAGAGCAUUUCUCAACCUUAAAGCCUAAAUACAUUAAAGGACAGAGCAAUCAUUUCAGGCCUCCGGGCCACUGCUGGUCAGUGCACAGUUUUGUGAGUGAGGCGGGUCUAAUCCCGCCCCCGGUGGCACAGUACUUGCUAAUAUGACAAUACAAGAUGGAUUCAAAAUGUCUGGUAAGAGAUGCUCACCUUUGGGGUUGGUUAAUCAUUUCAAAUAAAAGUGUUUCCAUCUCAUUUGUUUCAGUUACAUUAUUGCAUAUCAAGUCAGUGUUUAUGUUACUUUGUCGUAGCCAUUAGAUAGAUAUGUCCAUUCUAACUCUUAACUUCUAUACUUCUUCCAUACUUUCAAAUGUGUCUUCUCUGUAAAGCUUCCGGGACAGCGGUGGUGGUGGAGCAGCUGCCCGCUAAUGAGGGCUCUGUGAGAGGCUUGCUGUGGUUUGACGUGCCUCUCCUUCCCGAACCGAGCGUGGACUCAUUUCUCUGAUCCAUUACCCUUCACUCCCGGGUGUCUGCUUGGACUCGGCGUCUGGCGGCUUGGUCCUAAUCUGUUGGAUGUGAAACAUUAACUUGCGAUUGCUGCCCACACCAACCCCCACAACCCCCACAACCCUCACACCCCUCAAGGGUGUUUUCUGAUCCUCUCACCCCUGACCGGGAAACACAAGUAAACACACGGCUGAUACUCCCAAACACUCCAUCAGCCCCGGGGCGUUAUGUGGUAACGUGUGUGUGAGCUGUCCCAAUGACCCUUAAGCAAUGUAUUCCCAUGUAUAUGAGGACCAACCAGAGGCUGGGAAAGGAUUUAGCGUCUCUAUUCAAGCCUUUAAGACAAACGCCUCAACUCUGGACUCUGCAUCUAUAGUCCUUUAGCAAUGAAAAGAUGACAGUGAUGAAUCAGGCUGCAUUUAGUUAAAAGUUUUAAAGACUGAAUUUACGGGUAUGUGAUGAAGAUAUGUGUGUUCAUAGGUCUGCUCGUGUUUCCAUAGCAACGCUUUGUCGCAGCGCUCAAGGUCUGAUAUGACGAGUCAGCCUCUAGGGCAGGGGUAUUCAACUGAAAUGUAGAGAGGUCCAAUUAGACACAAUUUCUAGAAACAAAGGUCCGGAAGAUCAUAAUGUAACUAUUUAGUGUGAUUAAAUAUAGCGAGAUAGAGUUGCAUCGACAUCUGCAUUUAUUUAAUAUAUGAUUGACAAAUCAGAUGAAUUGAGUAUGAUUCAAAAACUCUUUGAGACGAAACUGAACAUAUAUAUUUGACUGCAAAUAUAAAUAAUGUUCUCUCAAUAACUAAAUAAAAGUAGGGCUGUAUUUCAAAAUAAAAUAAAAUAUAAAUAAGUAUAUGUGUAUAUAUUAUAGUGCCUCGUGAUGGCGUUUGCUAUGGUUUUUAACCAUAUGACACACACUAGAAGAGAAACCAGUCUGUUCAUUCUAGAGUAUUUUCUUCUUUCACUCUCCACUUUGUCUUUUUGGAGAGCGCCAUUUUUUAUGUUAUUUUUGUCACCGGCCCUUUCCCUCGCUUUCUCCAUCUCACUAGUGUUAUUCUCAAAUUUCGGUACUUUGUUUUUCUUCUGUCUUUUUAUUUGUAAUUUGCCGCAAUCUCUCUAAUCUGUCUGCAGUAUUGAGACGAUACCAUCCAGCCUGGAAUGUGAAGACUGGAUUGGUCCAGUGGUAUCACGUGGGAUGGCUUAACUCAAAUGCAAUUGGUCUGUGCUUUAAACCACUUCCAAAAUUGGGCUAGUCAAAAAGUGCCCGUCGAGUUGAAUCACAACGGUCUGUUUUAGCUUUAGGUCCUGGUCUGGAUAACAUUAUCGACUUUAGCGAGGUUAUCAGACGUUUAGAACGAUAUAGUCAGGUGAUGUAGCAGUAAAGUUGACAAAGCUGGCGUGGGCAAAGGACUGGUCAAACCAACACUGGAUUUUCACCGAGGAGACCAAAGUUAAUGUCAUCUGUGAAACCAAAAUUCAACAUAACUGAAAUUAAGCAACGGGUGGAAAAAAGUUUUUGUUUAUGAAUCAGAGCGGUUUGGAUAUGUGCAAGUAUAUGUGUUUAUGUCACAGCGGCAGCGUGGCGAAGCAGGACUCAAUUACAGGGUUAAACUUUAUUGACAUUCCAAAUCAGAGAUGCCUAGGGCCAAACCGGGGAUCAAGCCAGGAGCAAACAAAACACAUUCAGACUCAUCACAAAGGCAUUCAAUGAACCGACAAGAAACAAGAGACACAUAUGGUUUAAAUACACUGUAAAGGUGCAGGUGAUUGGAUACAGGAGGAAACCAUCAGGGUCAGGCAGGAAGCUACAAAAUAAAACAUUACACAAAGAAGAAUCUCUUUUGGCCUGUUUCUUUGCUCAAAGUAACUGGUGGGACACCAAGAGCGACUAUCCCAGUGAGGCCUAUCACUGUAAGGACUGCAUCAUUUUUUUUUCCCCAGGUGGCAGAAUGUUCUAAAUCAGGCCAACUGGUGGGAUUCUGAUAUCCACAGCAGCUGUCCAAGUGGAGAGGAGAUCACUCCCCUCGGACUGCCCCCUUCCUUCUCUUCAUACGGCAGAGCGCUGCAGCUCAGAAUGACUCAGAAGCCUGCUUUAGUGGGACACGGGUCCCUCCAGAAUUGCGGUCAUGUUUAACUCUCGGCUCGCUACCCAUGCAAAUCUACCAUAUGUCCCUCAAGACAACCUACAAACCUGGGGCCUAUUAGUCACCCCGCUAAGGGCUGUGGUAGGUAAAUAAAACGGGAAAACAUGUACUAUCGUGAUGUAAUUUGCUUUUGGGGUUAAUAACCUUAAGCUGAAAGAAAAUAAUACAAGACACGGUGCUUGUGUCCACAGCCCCAAGGAUUCUUCAGCACUGGGUAAACCGAGCCUGUCCCAAGCCCCCAUGGAGACCAGGAUCUGGUGCUCUGCACCAUGUGGCACAGUUCUCUGUGUCCUUCAUACAGGCAGAGACCUGUGAUUUACAGCUUUAAUAGACCACAAUAAAGUUUUCAUGUUCACAGUAUCGCUGUCCCUGUUGUCAGCAAGUUUCAGCCGGCCGCCUUUCCCGGCGCUAAAGAAAGCCAGUAAUAACGUUGACUUAUCAGUGCAGCGCCACAACAAAGGAAUCAAAAUGUCACAAGGAGCUUAUAAGAAUGUUUCCCCCCUAGAGCCUGUCUCCGUUUCCUUCCUGCUCAGGUAGCCCUAGAGUGUAUGAUAACAGAGCUAGGACUUAAUCAAUAACGUCCACCUCCCAUCACUCACCCACCCUCCCUAUACAGUUCUCACUGCAGCUUCAGAUUCUGUUGGUCAAAGGUCAAUUGGAGUCUGAGCAAUCAGUGUUGUUUGGCAAAAUUCUGACAAUACUCACUAAUGGAACUGAGCUAAUUUUGACUGUGACAGAAAUAUAUUUUGGCACCAUUAUCACUGAUAAACCAAAAUUACUUUGUAUUUGUUGUGUGACGUCAGACAACUUUUCUGAAGCGGUUCAUAAUAAAUUCCUUAUAAUGAUAUUAUGCAUCAUGGUGCUUAUAUUUGAGUUCAUAAAAAAUGGCCACCUUUAAAAGGCUGACAGAGUAGAUAUAAUUUAGCGCAAAAUUAUGUUUUAAUAAAUAAAUCUGAUAAUAAAUUAAAAUUAACUGAAUUCAAAGUUUAAAUAUGACUUAGUUCAAGUGGCCACACUCUAUCAGCUCCUGCUCACUGUCUUAUGUCUUAUGUUUUUUAGUUUUAAUUUAUUUUUGAAGAUUUAUGUGUACCAUUGACAUUUGACCUGUGGUGGCUGUACUGUACCACCGUGGUCCAUGGUUUUUACAUGAUUUUUACCUGAUUCUUUACACCAAGGAUUAGUUUGCUGCUGGAGGAGAGACCCAAGGUUUCAAACAAGCGCCGCCCCAGGAUGAGAACUCACACACUCGUCCUCCCCUCGAUCAUCAUGGGGAAUCUUCCCCAACGAGAUGGGUAAAUGGUCAGUGAUCAGAGGGAAUACCAGGAGUGUUUACAGAGACGUGACUAAUAGCACUAGCUCCACGACGCUUUGAACCAGACAAUGUGGGCGGACAAGGAGAGCGGAAAGUACAAGGGAGGAGAUUGGGAAGUAUUCGUAGACGAGCACAUCAAUAUAAAUGUAAUACUUUGAGGUAAGGCCACUGAGUUAUUAGCCUUUAGCAUUAGGCCUUACUAUCUACCAUGAGAGUGCUGUCGCCAUAGCAGUGAAGUGGUGACUAGCCUUUGAACGUCCACUCGGUCAACAUUCACUCCAUAUGUCACAUGCAACCCCACAGACCAUAAAAUACUGAAUAGAUUUCAUACCAGCACCAAGGAAGCAUGCAGGUCAUCACCUCCCCCUCGCCUUGGGGGCGCCUCUUGCCCAUCAACAGACCACACAGUGACAAGGUAAGGCUGAUGUGGCUCUGAAGGACUUUUUCGAUUCACCUUCAUGGGAAGUUUUUUGUGGUGGUUAUGAGGAGGACAAUGAUAACGAGAGUUACGGAUGUAAUUAAAGUUCAAUAAAUCCUGGAUGAGUGCCAGAUGUAUUUAUUCACAAAGUGACUGUAAACCACUUUUCAGUGCUUUUACUGAAUGGAAUAUCAAUAUAUAUAUAUAGGAUAUAUAUUGAAAUAAUUAAGGGUCUCAAUGACAUAUGUGCAGUCACACGUUUAGUAUAGAUGGUCACAUGACCAUAGCUGUUAAUGUCCUUGAACGUCCACCAUGAUGAGAGGAUGGUGUUAUGAAAUACUUUUGUACAGUACAUACGCAGUUCUGGUUCUACCCAAGUCUACGCUAUCCUUUUGUCUACUUUUACAUUGAUUCCAGCUCUGGAGGAAACCAGAGUUUCCCCUUCUCUCUUUCCAAA